UAAUGAAAGAUGAGCGGCGGACGGGUGAGUAACGCGUGGGUAACCUGCCCUAUACACAUCGGAUAACCAAUACUGAAAAGUUUACUAAUACUGAUAAUAUAUAUUUACGGCAUCGUAGAUAUAUCAAAGUGUUAGCGGUAUAGGAUGGACCCGCGUCUGAUUAGCUAGUUGGUGAGAUAACUGCCCACCAAGGCGACGAUCAGUAGCCGACCUGAGAGGGUGAUCGGCCACAUUGGAACUGAGACACGGUCCAAACUCCUACGGGAGGCAGCAGUGGGGAAUAUUGCACAAUGGGCGCAAGCCUGAUGCAGCAACGCCGCGUGAACGAUGAAGGUCUUCGGAUCGUAAAGUUCUGUUGCAGGGGAAGAUAAUGACGGUACCCUGUGAGGAAGCCCCGGCUAACUACGUGCCAGCAGCCGCGGUAAUACGUAGGGGGCUAGCGUUAUCCGGAUUUACUGGGCGUAAAGGGUGCGUAGGUGGUCUUUCAAGUCGGUGGUUAAAGACUACGGCUCAACCGUAGUUAGCCUCCGAAACUGGAAGACUUGAGUGCAGGAGAGGAAAGUGGAAUUCCCAGUGUAGCGGUGAAAUGCGUAGAUAUUGGGAGGAACACCAGUAGCGAAGGCGGCUUUCUGGACUGCAACUGACACUGAGGCACGAAAGCGUGGGUAGCAAACAGGAUUAGUAUACCCUGGUAGUCCACGCUGUAAACGAUGAGUACUAGGUGUCGGGGGUUACCCCC
rnacentral:rRNA from 1 species